UUACAUUCUUCUUAGUGGGAUGCCGCCAUUUUGGGGUAAGACUAAGUCACGAAUAUUUGAUGCUGUAAGGGCUGCUGAUCUGCGAUUCCCAUCUAUUCCUUGGGAUUGGAUAACUGAAUCUGCAAAGGAGUUAGUCAGGGGCAUGCUUUGUACUGAUCCUUCACGAAGGCUUACUGCACAACAGGUUUUAGAUCAUUCCUGGAUGAAGGAUGAUGCAUUAUGUCCUGAAGAACCUAGUCAAUGUGAAAAGCAAAGUUGUGAAGAAUGGGAUUUAGGUGGUGGCUCUUUCUCUACAUUGAUGGCCAGGAAUCAGGACGUAAGCUUUGGCACUGGAUCACCUAUUACUUGUGAUACUGAAUCACCUACUCUCGGAUGCAGAUCAUCAUUUUCUUCUUUCCUUGUGGAACCUUCAACACCUUCCUCUGUAUCUGGUCUGUUCUCUUUCUGUAGCUGUGGCGAUUCUGAUGCCUUGGAAUUUUCUUCCCCUGUAUUAUCAAUGCCAAGCUUUGCUAUCUUCAGCCAUGGUCCUUUGAUGGAGCAAGGGAGUUGUGCAUUGGAUCUCUCAAACAAUAUUUCCAAUUUUAGUGAAAGUUAUGGAGAGGUCAGCUUGGAGAAUAUGCUCAUGUUCCCUCAAUCUCCUCUAUUCUGUGGACAUGAAUCUAGGGAAAUGGAACGCAAGUCAGCUGAUGUUAAAAGGUCAGGAGGAGCCAUCGGGUCUAGGAUGGGCAUGAACAGUAAGAGGAACCAUACAAUUGGUCUCGGUGAGUGUGAGCAACUCAAUCUCAUGGUGACCGAGUCAGUUAUCCGAUGGGCAUCAUGCACGCAUCUUCCAACUGCUCCAUCUCUUAGUCUUCUGUUGUCUGUUGAAACUUGAAAGAGAGGGCCAGUUGGCAGCCUGAAGCUACAGAAUGAAACUGGAGGCUGUGAUGGAUGAUUGAGAUGGAGAAAGUAGCAUGCCCACACCAGUUUCUGCUAGCCAAUGUAUUUGUAAAUAUGUUUGUUUUCCUGUUUUGCUGAAUCAUGGUGAGAAAGUCCUAGGCAAGCUUCAAAGGGUGGUGUGAUUUGAGUGACGUCUUUUUGUUAUCUUCAAUUUGUGCACUACUAGGUAGCCAAAAUAACAAGCUGCGAGUAAUAGUCUUCUGCCUUGUGUAUAAAACUAAAUUUUCAUUGUAGAUAAAUUACCUCUUUUGAUCUCUGAGCAACGUUGUUGUCCAUUGAGUCGAUGAAGUUGGGUUCCUAAAUUUUAAAAUUAUUUUUUUAUCUUUCCAUAAUUGGAUUUUGUUACAUAUUAUAGGAAGAAGUGUAGGAAUAAAGUGUAAAUAGUGUUGUAGAGAAUUAUAUAACAAUUGCAAUUGGCGGGAAGGGUAGUUCUUCCUGCCAAUUACAAUUGUUCUAUAAUUCUCUACAAUAUUAUUUACACUUUAGUCCUAUGCUUCUUCCUAUAAAUAUGUAACAAACAUCAAGACAAAUGAUAUUCACAUAUAAUAAUUCACAUGGAUAAAGGUUAUUGGAAGUAUAAAAGCAAACAGUUAUUGCUGCUAUUGGAAGUAAUGCUUACAUACAUACCGUUGCUCAGAUCUUUAUGUAUCUCAAGCAAAAGUUGUAUGAAUCAAACUCUACCUUUUAGGAACUGGAAUAUGCUCCCAUUCUGAGCAAUUAACUUUUUUAACAUGCAACCUCAGGAUAUUUUUCAGUCCCCUUCAACCAGAAAAUUUAUAUUAGCACACAAAGUAAUGAAGGGAAAACAUUGUCAUAGUAUUGCAGUGAAAAGUUGCAAAAGAAUUAUAGAAUAAAAAAACUUCAAAAAAGAGAAGUAUCAACUUUUCCACAAACAAUAGUAUUU
rnacentral:misc_RNA from 1 species